rnacentral:rRNA from 1 species
AUUGAACGCUGGCGGCAGGCCUAACACAUGCAAGUCGAGCGGUAGAGCGAAGCUUGCUUCUCUUGAGAGCGGCGGACGGGUGAGUAAUGCCUAGGAAUCUGCCUGGUAGUGGGGGAUAACGUUCGGAAACGGACGCUAAUACCGCAUACGUCCUACGGGAGAAAGCAGGGGACCUUCGGGCCUUGCGCUAUCAGAUGAGCCUAGGUCGGAUUAGCUAGUUGGUGGGGUAAUGGAUCACCAAGGCGACGAUCCGUAACUGGUCUGAGAGGAUGAUCAGUCACACUGGAACUGAGACACGGUCCAGACUCCUACGGGAGGCAGCAGUGGGGAAUAUUGGACAAUGGGCGAAAGCCUGAUCCAGCCAUGCCGCGUGUGUGAAGAAGGUCUUCGGAUUGUAAAGCACUUUAAGUUGGGAGGAAGGGCAGUAAAUUAAUACUUUGCUGUUUUGACGUUACCGACAGAAUAAGCACCGGCUAACUCUGUG